rnacentral:lncRNA from 1 species
CUUGUACCAUUUGUGCAGAAAAUUCAGUUUUCACGCAAGAAGAUUUUCAGAAGUUUGAUUAUGAGACCUUCACACAAUCCCCAAUGUCUGACAAGGUAUGUUUUCCCUCUGUAUUGAGAUUCUGGUUUGCUUUUAAUACUUGAGAGGGCUUCAGAACACUGACUUCAUAGUUUGUCUUUAAUGCGAUCGGCAUUUUGUGUAAACAAAGGGAGCUAUGAAUUGCAUGUUUCGACUAUUUUCUUGUUACUCUAAUCACGUGUGAGUUACAGAGUAGAACUCUAAUGCUAGCUUAGCACUUAGUGUUUAGCAAGUGUUAUAGGAAAUGCUCAUGGCACUGCAAACCAACUGGGUUUCCCUACUUGGCAAUUUUUGGCUAAUCCAUUGUCCCAUACACAAAUGUGGAGUGAUAGUCCAGUACAGAUGUGCAGUGAAAACAUUUAACGAGCACCCUCUAGUAGCUCUACAACCUGAGUUGGAAUAUGGGUAUGUGAGUACUGAGCAGUCCAAGUCCAGUUUUUUUUCUUUUUCGGUAGAGCCUGCGUGUCACAUGGAAUGGCCACCAUUGAUAACCAGCUUACACAGUAAGCAAGCUGAAUGCCAUGUUGCCAGUAAGUCCUUACAUGGAAUUCAUAAUUCUUUAGGGCUUCUCUAGUUUCCUGAAAACAAAGGUGCAGUGCCAAACAAAAUAAUAUUCCCUCCAUCCCAAAAUAAGUGUCGUUGAUUUAGUGUACUAAAUCAGCGACACUUAUUUUGGGACGGAGGGAGUACUAAACUAGUUUCUUCUGGAUCACUUAGUUCUUGUUCCAGGUUGUGAAGCUAUGACAUUUCACAUAUUGUUAUGAUUAAUGCAGACGGCACCGAGCCUGAACCUGCUACCAGAAAGUGCCCGCAUCACUUGUACAGAGUACAAAGGGCUGAUCGACAAGGGGGAACCUCACGUGCUGUUGGAUGUACGGCCUGCUCAUCAUUUCCAAAUAGUUUCACUUUCCCGGUCUCUGAACAUACCACUCUCCGUUCUGGAGGAGAAGCUGCCUAUGCUCGAGACCUCAAUGAAGGAAACUAUGGAUGCCUCCGCCACCUCAGAUAAACAGCCUUCCUUGUACGUUGUCUGCAGAAGAGGCAACGACUCACAGAGCGCUGUCCAGCUUCUCCGCGAGAAGGGCUUUCACUCCACCAAGGACAUAGUCGGUGGCCUGCAGUCUUGGGCACAUGACGUCGAUCCUGAUUUCCCCGCAUACUAGCGAAGUACAUUUUGGGCUUAUUGCCGAAGUUCCAGCCUUAAUACUGGACAUGAACGUCCAGCUUGAGACCGUUGUUUUGUGUGGCGUUGCUUACUUGAGCUAUCUUGUAAUUUGUUGCUGUAAGUCUAGAACUCCGGAUUGCUACCUCCAAAGAUCUGGUGGAGUUGUAGUAAGACACUGCAGCAGGUAUACAGGCGCGAGGCGCCUUGGUGAAGUUUCUGUGAAAGGUGUUUCCUGUAAACUUCCGGUUGUCAUCGUCGAGGAGUAUUACUGUUGUCAUUAUGCCUGAAGUGAGGCGUUCCUGGCUGUUUUUGUUGCCAUCCCUGAUGGUUUCUAGCCGUCAUGGAGACCAUUUA